GGGGCCGACCUGGUUUCGACGCGGGUACGGAUCCGACGCAGGGCAUGCCGAGCACCAGUUCGCUCGUAAAUCCACUGGAAACAAAGUAACUGCGAACGAUCAAACGUACGCACUCGCCGCUUAAAACCGGUGAGCCUCUCAACGGCAGGCCGAUGGGCCGGGUUGAAGGUCGCAAGACCGACGACUGAGAGGUCAUUCACAUCGGCUGGUGCUGAGCCGCGUCAUUCGGUUCAGGACGAGAUCAAGUGACUGGCCUCGAGAGUAGCGUGCUGCUGCGCGACUCGAGGGGUGAGACAACAAAUCAGCCAGCUACGCAUGUAGAACUGUCCGGUGAUGGCUUGCGGACGCGGGUUCGAUUCCCGCCGGCUCCACCA
rnacentral:tmRNA from 1 species